UAACCCUAGUUCAUAACUCAGAGACCGCUGCCUUUGUAUUCUCUCAUCUCCUCUACUCUCUCAACCCCCAACCUAACCCUAGCUCUUUCAACUUCCGACUUCCUUUUUCGAUCUUCUCAAGUGAUCUCUCUUCAGCUCCUGAGCCUCCAAUGGCUCCUCCAUUGCCAUGCUCACCUUGUCUGCGGCAAUCAAGGGCCCUGGGCCAUGCUGACUUGUAUCUAGAGUUUCCUAUUUGGCUGUUCUUCGCUACUCCAG
rnacentral:lncRNA from 1 species